rnacentral:rRNA from 1 species
UUAAGCAUAUCAAUAAGCGGAGGAAAAGAAACCACAGGGAUUGCCUCAGUAACGGCGAGUGAAGCGGCAACAGCUCAAAUUUGAAAUCUGGCCUCUCGGGGUCCGAGUUGUAAUUUGUAGAGGAUGUUUCGGGUACCGCUCCGGUUUAAAUUUCUUGGAACAGAAUGUCAAAGAGGGUGAGAAUCCCGUCUUGGACCGGUGGUAGGGCCUAUGUGAAACUCCUUCGACGAGUCGAGUUGUUUGGGAAUGCAGCUCAAAAUGGGUGGUAAAUUUCAUCUAAAGCUAAAUAUUGGCCAGAGACCGAUAGCGCACAAGUAGAGUGAUCGAAAGAUGAAAAGCACUUUGAAAAGAGAGUUAAACAGUAUGUGAAAUUGUUGAAAGGGAAGCGCUGGCAACCAGACUUGCGCGCGGCGGUUCCCCCUUCCUUUUGGUUGGGUUACUCCGCCGUGUCCAGGCCAAUAUCGGUUCUGGGGGUCGGUCAAAGGCGCUGGGAAUGUACCUACCCUUCGGGCGUAGACUUAUAGCCCAGCGUGUCAUGCGACCUCCCGGGACCGAGGAACGCGCUUCGGCUCGGAUAUUGGCGUAAUGGUUGUCAGCGACCCGUCUUGAAACACGGACCAAGGAGUCUAACAUUUAUGCGAGUGUUUGGGUGUCAAACCCGGAACGCGUAAUGAAAGUGAACGGAGGUAGGAAGCCCUUGGGCUGCACUAUCGACCGAUCCUGAUGUCUUCGGAUGGAUUUGAGUAAGAGCAUAAAUGUUGGGACCCGAAAGAUGGUGAACUAUGCCUGAAUAGGGUGAAGCCAGAGGAAACUCUGGUGGAGGCUCGCAGCGGUUCUGACGUGCAAAUCGAUCGUCAAAUUUGGGUAUAGGGGCGAAAGACUAAUCGAACCAUCUGGUAGCUGGUUCCUGCCGAAG